UCCGGUUUGUCACCGGCAGUCUCCUUAGAGUUCCCGACAUUACUCGCUGGCAACUAAGGACAAGGGUUGCGCUCGUUGCGGGACUUAACCCAACAUCUCACGACACGAGCUGACGACAGCCAUGCAGCACCUGUGUUCCGAUUCCCGAAGGCACUCCCGCAUCUCUAGGAGUGUCAGAGGAUGUCAAGACCUGGUAAGGUUCUUCGCGUUGCUUCGAAUUAAACCACAUGCUCCGCUGCUUGUGCGGGCCCCCGCCUAUUCCUUUGAGUUUUAACCUUGCGGCCGUAGUCCCCAGGCGGUGAACUUAAUGCGUUAGCUGCGGCACUGAUCGGGUCAAUCCGACCAACACCUAGUUCACAACGUUUAGGGCGUGGACUAC
rnacentral:misc_RNA from 1 species